AUGUCACUUCGUGACUUUUGUCGGAUUUGUUUGAUCCCUUUUGAGGUUCGUGUAGAGGAACCACAUCAUGACGAUGUGGAUGGGUUUAUUGAUACCAUUGUUGUAGGGGAAACGAGGAAGGUUUCCAACGCACCAAUUACUAGCAUACACUUUCCUGUUCUAUGUUACUUUGUUAUAUUUGCUAGUAGAUGCUUAAUUGGGCGCGGAAACUGUGGAAACCUGAGUGCCCUUGAUAUUGUUAUUUUGUGCCAUGCCUUGUUCCGUGAUGACACAUUUAGUAUGGGCGCUAUUAUUGCAAAGUGGUUAAAUCUUAACCAUACUAAGGGCCCCGUCCUUGGAGGCAUCUUCGCCUCGCGCCUCGCUGCACACUUUAACAUACCUAUUAGGCAUUAUGAGAAGGAAGAGAAGAUGCCGCCUCCUGUUUAUCUAGAUUAUAAGAGUAUGUAG
rnacentral:rRNA from 1 species